rnacentral:tRNA from 1 species
GCCUCGUUAGCGCAGUAUGUAGCGCGUCAGUCUCAUAAUCUGAAGGUCGUGGGUUCGAUCCUCACACGGGGCA